rnacentral:snRNA from 12 species
AAACUUUCCUGGCCAGGGAGAUAGCAUGAGCAUGAUGAACUGACCCCUGCAAUAUCUCCAAAUAUGGGAAACUUGAUUGCAUAAUUUGUGGUAGUCAAAGGCUGCUUUUGUACUUUGC